ACGCCUGUGCAGAACGGCCAGGACCACACCUUUGCCCGUCACCUCCGCCCACGCUCCCCACGCCUCCCACCGGCCUGCCGCUGCAUCCCGUCGACACCCCAGCCCCUGGGCCUCAGGGAGGCUGACCUGAGUUCUGCUCUGCCUCCUCGCUUUGCUGUCUUGCAGGGUCACAAAAUGGCUGCAGUAGCACCAGAUACACUUCUGCUAACAGGAUCAUUACCUCCCUCAGAAGUGCGUCUGGGCCAGUGUCCAUGGGCGAGCCCCAGCUGUGUUUCCCAGGACAGUGGUACCCAGGUCGCCCUGGGACGGCAGUUCCUAGGCCACUAAGGCAGAUGCCUCCUCUCCUCUUGUCUGUUCUUGUCGUCAAUCAAGCUGAUUCUCUCGCCAGAAUUGCUCCUUGCUGCGGUGCCUUCGCCUGACAGAGAAAUCCCUUCCACUGCCAGCUCCCAGGAGGCCAAGCCCUUGACUCCUAAGCAGAAUGAC